AAUCCCAAACCCUAAUUACAACAUAUUAUGUCCGUCAUUCUCUCUCUUCCCGUACCAGCCACAUAUCCUCUCACCAUUUCCCCUUUGUCUCUCCAUCUAUCCUUCUUCUUCUGCACACCUAGAGAUGCUUCUCCUCGGCGCAUAAGCUUGUCCUCUUCGACGGUGACGGCGCCUAGCAUAGGCGCUCGGUCGCAUUGACGACUUCUUUGGUGCAUGCUUGGCUACUUGGACGAUGGUGGCUCGAUCUUCAAUGGCAGAGAUAUGAUAUUGUACGAUCUAAUCAUUUGUGCAACACAUGGGUUGUGUACACUUAGGGCGGGGCUGGGCUUGCAAUGUUUUCGUUCAUGAAGGACGAAGUUAGGCUCGGAUGUGGCUGGAAAUGGGAUUGGGCUCGCGGAUUGCAUUGUCGCCGUUCAUGGAGGAGGGGGCUGGCUCGUUGAGGUGAGGGUUGGGCUUGCGUAGGUGGCUGGAAAUAGGGUUGCGAAACUCUGUUCAGGAAAUUAUUUCCACCAACCAGGUGGGCUGCAGAGUUCAAUUCUGCAUUGGCUGUUCCUUUUUUCCACUGGCUAGUUGGACCUUCUAAGUCUUACAUGGAUUCAGAAACGAGAGGGAUAAUGGCAGUAUAUGCCACUGGACAACUAAAGAGAACUUCCUAGAUUAUAUUUAUUGCAAUCUGAUGCUUUUUGUCAAGGGGACAAGCUUCACACACACUUCUCAUACACCCUUUGAUUUGUCCUUUUAUAAAUAAUGUAAAAUUAGAACAAUUUUAGAGGGACAUUAUUUGUAAGAUUCAUCAAUAGAGUAUCAGAUUGAAAUAUUUAGAUUGUUAUUAGGACAUAUAGUUGGUUUGAGAUUUUUUAUGUAUUUGUUUUUAUUUUUAUUUUAUUAAUAAAUGUUGAAAGAUGUUAUAAGCUAGCUUACAAUACAUGUUAAUGAGAAAUUUAAAUUUCUUUUAA